GCGCGGGUGGUGAAAUUGGUAAACACGCCAGCUUGAGGGGCUGGUGGGAGCAAUCCCUUGGAGGUUCGAGUCCUCUCUCGCGCACCA
rnacentral:tRNA from 1 species